UACGUAGGUGGCGAGCGUUAUCCGGAUUUACUGGGUGUAAAGGGCGCGUAGGCGGCCUGUCAAGUCAGAUGUGAAAUCCCCGGGCUUAACCCGGGAACUGCAUUUGAAACUAAUGGGCUUGAGUAUCGGAGAGGCAGGCGGAAUUCCGUGUGUAGCGGUGAAAUGCGUAGAUAUACGGAGGAACACCAGUGGCGAAGGCGGCCUGCUGGACGACAACUGACGCUGAGGCGCGAAAGCGUGGGGAGCAAAC
rnacentral:rRNA from 1 species